GGGGAUUUAGCUCAGUGGUAGAGCGCUUGCCUAGGAAGCGCAAGGCCCUGGGUUCGAUGCCCAGCUCUG
rnacentral:tRNA from 1 species